rnacentral:rRNA from 1 species
UACGAAGGGGGGCUAGCGUUGUUCGGAAUUACUGGGCGUAAAGGGCGCGUAGGCGGCCAUCUAAGUCAGACGUGAAAUCCCUCGGCUCAACCGAGGAACUGCGUCUGAUACUGGAAGGCUUGAAUCCGGGAGAGGGAUGUGGAAUUCCAGGUGUAGCGGUGAAAUGCGUAGAUAUCUGGAGGAACACCGGUGGCGAAGGCGGCAUCCUGGACCGGUAUUGACGCUGAGGCG